rnacentral:rRNA from 1 species
AACGUAGGAGGCAAGCGUUAUCCGGAUUUACUGGGCGUAAAGCGUGUGCAGGCGGUUUGGUAAGUUGGAUGUGAAAGCUCCUGGCUCAACUGGGAGAGGUCGUUCAAUACUACCAGACUUGAGAGUGGUAGAGGGAGGUGGAAUUCCCGGUGUAGUGGUGAAAUGCGUAGAUAUCGGGAGGAACACCAGUGGCGAAAGCGGCCUCCUGGACCAUUUCUGACGCUCAGACACGAAAGCUAGGGGAGCAAAC